GUCAAAUAUAACCAACACUGACCAUCCUGGUGUAGGCUGAUGUUCAAACUUGAAAGGGCCUGAGCUUCACCGACAACCAGUGCCUCUACUGUAUAUGGUUUUCCCGUGAAAGGUGGCAUCAUCAACUAUGUGACCAGGAUGAUCCGCAAGCACAGAGCCACACACCAUAAUAUCCACUGAAAGCAUCUGUAUCCAUUCCUGUCUCAAGUCUCAAGUGUGUAUUUGUAAGGCUGGUGGGUGGCCAUUUGUGUACACCACGCCUCAUUGUGUCUAUCCAUGCUGAGCUAAGAAGUUGAAACUCCAACUGACGAAUAUUGGUGAUAAUUAAAAAAUUCUCGAGCAGGGGUCAACAGCGUGGCGGCUGCUAAAAGAAAGAGUGCAAGGCUUUUUCGGAGGGACAGUUAAGGGAGAGAAAAGCCAGGUGUGAAACAAAGCCAAGAUAUGAAGAGUUUCUUUAUAAGGAAGAAGAAAAGUAGAGAGCCAGCCAUAGACAGCAGUGCAGUGGCCUGUUAGACAAGUCACCACCAACCUGAGAUUAGGCAUGCAGCGAUGAGCACCCAUCAGUGUCUGCAGAUCUAUCUGCUGUUUUGUGAUAGAGAGGCACUUUACCUCGGGGUAUCCAGCAGCAUUCAAGCCUUAAUAACAGCGACGAGUACCCUCCAGCAGUGUCUGCACGUCAGGGCAUGUCAAGCGGCUAUUGAGAGGCUCUUCCAUUUGGAUCCAACCUGAACCUCACAGUAUAUUAUCACAUUUUACUGUAGCAUUCAGUCUUAGACACCAUUCUGAGUGGCUUAGUAUUACCACACAACAUUUUCAAUAUCAGUGUGCUCAUUGUGAUCUGGUCAUGGAAAAAACAAACAGGAUAACUUAAAAAAAAGAGAGAUACCAGAUGAUAUGGUGACAGACGAGGCAGAGUUUGCCAUACAGUAUAAGGAUGGAUGAGGUGACCAGCACAGCACACGCCUUGGCGAACCUUAACUGGCCAGGGAGGGAGCAGCCUGUGUACUGUGACCCCCGGGGACAACCUCAACAUUGGUGUGGUAAGUCUGCCGCCUGUACAGUGUUGUUACUGGUGCUGUAGUGAGUCGUGUGGUUACUGUAGUCGCACUAUUAAAUGUGUAUUGAUUAUAAUAUAUGUCACCAAGCUGGAUAAAAAACAUGGUUAUUGCCCCCAAAAAAUGAUUUACCAAAUAAACCAUGUUUUUGGUUUUGAAGUUUUUUAUGAGCUUUACCGCAAUUAAUUGCAUUUAUCUUUCAUAUAUCAAUGGAGAACUGUCCAGUACAAUAUAUUUUCAUUAUAAAUAGCUGAAGACUAUUUAAUUUACAUUUUUGGUUCUCUGUUUACUGUUGAAAUGUUUGCAAUAUGAUUGUGUCUAGUGAAGCAUAAACCGGGAAAUAAUAUGAAUCAUAAUAAAGUCCAAGGGACAUCACGCCCACCUAUGUCUUUGUUUUAUCCUCCAACUGAUAAUAAUGACAAGUUGAAAAAAUAUUUGGUCAAAUAGGCUUAUAAAAUGAAGACUAUACAGCACUGUACCGAAUAACAGCUCAUUGCACCAAAUUCACUAAUUAUUCAAUACUUGAAGCAGCUUUGGUGGGCGACUCAAAUGGAAAUUCAAUGAUAAAAUAAUUACAGUAAAUUCCUUAAACUAAUUGUAUUAUGCUGCAUUAAGACACGGCCCUACUGUUUAUUGCAAGCAUUUCAAGUAAACAGAAAACCAAGACCUUAGGUAUGCACAUGCAGGGGUAGAGACCACACAAUGUUAU